rnacentral:misc_RNA from 1 species
GCUUUCCCACCAAGCCUAGCGACGGCGAUCGCGACGUUGGCUGGGGCCCCACCGGGAGCCUUCAAGAAACCAGGGGCUUCGGCGAGGGAGACGCCGGAGACGGUAGGGACGAAGUCGAUCAGCAUCUCGCCGAAGCUGACGAUGAGGGAAGAGCCGGAGCCGCCGUUGGACACCACUGACGCCAUUGGAAGAAGAUUUUACUUGGGUGUAGAAAGAGAAAAUGAAGUCUUUUCAGGAAGAGAGAGCGUUUUUAGAGAUUUCGAAGAGAGGAGAACG